UUAGUUGAUUUAGGUAGAAUGGUCAGACUUGGAAUGUUGAGAUCUAUCCUUGAAUUUGAAUGAAAUGACCUUUGGCAAAAAACAAAAUUAACAACAAUCAAUGAGAAAGCUCUCGGAUGUAAAAGCUCUUGGAUUUAGAAUUCACUAGAGAUCGAUCUCCAUGGUGAUUUGGACCACAAUGAUAUACCAUUCAUCUAGUUAGGUUAAGAUCUUAAAAUUACACCUAAACCGAUUUUGGAUUUAACUUUAGGUCUAUAUCAAUUCAAAUCUUAAAUUAGAAUUCCUAAUUACAUUGAUUAAUUGAUUACAGUUAAUCUCACUUCAUCUCUAAUUACCUUCCAAUCAAUCCAAUAUUGGUUCUCUACAAUCUCCCUGAAUUUAACAAUUAACUAUGUGAUGAAUUGAUCAACUGAACACUUCAUUUCCUAUUCAAGAUAAUUAUGAGAGAAAUCAAUUCAAUUGAGAGAACCUUCAGUUUUAGCUCCAAUUAUCCAAAUUCACCAUGGAUCUCUUCUGUAGCUCCUUCCUCCUCUGAGAAAGAAAGAAGUUAGCCAGUCAUGGUUGGAGAAAUGAUCUGACAAUGCAUGUUUGGCUCUCAAGAAAACAAAGGAAAUGUCAAGAAAAUAUGAAAGAAAAUUAUAUAUCUCAAGAAAAACAAUAUCCUCCCAAAACAAUAUUAUGCAAAAAUUUUCCAAAAGUUCACACAAGUGUAUCAUUCACCCCCUAUUUAUAGGCUAUGUACAUAGAUGGACAUGUGGCAUCACUAGAAUGGUCUUCUAGAAUCUUCCAUGAGUGCCACAUAAGCAAUGGAUGUGCUCCUCAUUCAAAUUCUUACAGAAUGGCACCAAAAUUUCUACUUCGAAUAUGCAUUCAAAGUAUUCACAGGGCUGAAUAAAUAUGAGAGGAAACUUCAGAACAAAACUCUCAUCCUGCCCAAGUUUGAAUGGGCAUUUCGAAUUCAGAAUGGGUAUGUAAAAUGGGUAUUUUUCUCUUAUUUCUGCUCCAAAAACAGAGUAUGGUGACCCCCUCACUUCAGUACACAGUUGCAUGAAUUAGCUUCAAAACACUUUAAUUGCAAUCUCCAACUAGGUUAAAUCAAUGGAAAUGUGAAUCAGGAUUACUUUCACAUCUUCCCUUCAAUCUUGAAAUCAGUUUCCUUCCUCAAAUCUUCAGUCUUCUUCCAACUGAAUGCAACUCACAUCCAAAUGCAAUCAUAACAGCACUAGACUUGGUUUACAAAGAUCCCAAACCAAUUAAGAUUUUUUGCAUGAGAUGUGCAAUCAUCUACUUCCAUACAGACAUCCAUAUGAAUGUUUGAAAGCAAUUCGAAUAGGUAUUUGAAACCUCUCUCUUGCAGCUUCAAACAUGCACUUAAUAUGAAGAUUUGCACAGCCAUUUGAAUGUGGAAGAGCAAUUCCUGCAUAGGCUUGCAAAGGGAACUGCAGCUUCCAUAAAGAACACCUUCUGACAAGUUUUAAACAGCCAUUUAAACUUGUUCCAGUUUUGCAUAGGCCUGUGAAUUCUACCUCUAAGUGCUGUAAAAUGUGCAUUUCGCUUCUGUUUGAUCACCUACUGGCUGUCCAUUGCUUGAUUUAUUUAUUUACAUGAAUCCAAUCUCGUCUCUUUCCAAUUCAUAACUUCAAAUAGCCUCAAGUAGCUCUCCUCAUAAUCAUGAAAACUCUUUUUUUAUUUUUAUUUUUAUUUUAUUUUUUCACUUUUUUUGAUUCACAUUCAGCAUUCCCAUCUUUCUCUCCAACUUCUCAAUCACCAUCAUCUCUCGUGCCUUCUUCAUAUAAAUUCAUCUUUACCAAUGCAUGAUUCUUUGUAAAUUGUGCCUUGAAACACUUCCACAACUCACAAAAAAAUGGUUAGUAAACAUUGCAAGAGCAUGAUCUUGUUAAUUGAGUAAAUAAGAAAUGAUUAUUACGUAAAACAUGUCAAAUAAACUCCAAAUAACUUCAAUAAUAUGCAGGUUUUUAGUAGUAAUCAAUAGUAUUUGUCAUAUGUUUCUGUAGCCUCAUUCACCUGAUAAUCGUGCUUUGGC
rnacentral:lncRNA from 1 species